GAGACAGGGUCUCACUCUGUCGCCCAGGGUGCUGGAGUGCAGUGGCGUGAUCUUGGCUCACUGCAGCCCCGACCUCCCUCAUCCUCCCAUCUCAGCCUCAAGUAGCUGGACUACAGGCGGGUGCCACCAUGCCCAGCUAAUUUUUGUAUUUUUUGUAGAAAUGGGGUUUUGCCAUGUUGCCCAGGCUGGCCUUGAACUCCUGAGCUUAAGUGAUCCACUCGCCUCGAUUUCCUAAAGUGCUAGGGUUACAGGCGUGAGCCACCAUGCCCAGCCCAGACUUCCUUCUCAUCCAGGAAAUUCCAAAAUGUCUUUACAUACAUAUUCUUAUAUUGUGUAAUAAAAGAUUCUGAAGUCCAUUACUGGCUAGAAUAAUAACUAGAAAUUGCUUAAUAUUACUAUACAUUGCAUUUGAACUUAAUCUCCACAGUAACAAUUAGGUAGUAUUACUUGGAUUUCAUGGAUGAAGAAAACCAAGAUACAAAAAGUUCACACAGCCAGUAAGCAGAUGAGCCUGACUUCAUAGUCAUACAUAGCCUGAAUUGAGUCCCAGCAGGAGCACAUGGGCAUGGACAUCUACCAGAUUUGGGAACUGGCGUAGCCAAGCAAGAAAUAGGAGACGGAAUCAGGAGUUAGGAUUCCAUGCUUAGGACCAUCCCAGAUGGAUGGCUGCCUCCCUCUGGGAGCUGCACUCUUCUGAGGUUGCAGGCAUCCAGGGCCAGGGUGCUUCUGUGAGGUGUGCCAGCACGUGCCACUCUGCUGGAUACAAGCUAUCAUGUUCUGAGGGCUGCUUCCCUCAGCAUAAGAAGGGGCUUCUAUUGGGAUGUGUAGGCUUCAUUGUAGGGUCCACUUGAGUCUUUUUUUUUUAGAGACAGUCUCGCUCUGUCAGCCAGGCUGGAGUGCAAUGGCGCGAUCCCAGCUCACUGCAACCUCCACCUCCUGGGUUCAGGCAAUUCUUGUGCCUCAGCUUCCCAAGAAGCUGGGAUUACAGGCACAUGCUAACACGCCUGUAUAUUUUUUGUAGAGACAGAGUUUCGCCGUUGGCCAGGAUUGUCUUGAACUCUUGGGCUCGGUGAUCUGCCUACCUCGACCUCCCAAAGUGCUGGAAUUACAGGUGUGAGCCAUCACGCCCGGCCCACUUGAAUAUAUAUAUAUAGCCAAGAAUAGUUGGCUAUACUUUCAUCUUUGCCUAGUUCUAAGUAAUUGAUUGGUUUCAGGAUCCAAUAAACUCUACAGGUAAAUCCACUAAGGUAAUGGUCUAUACCGGUGGUUCCUGAACUUGAGUGUGCAGCAGAAUUACCUGGAAGGCUUCUUAAAACACAGAUUUCUGUCCCCACCUCCCAGGAUUUGAUUCAGGCGGCCUGCUGUGGAGCCUGAGAAUGUACAUUUCUAACAAGUUACCAGGUACUACAGAUGCUUCUGUUCUGGAGACUGUGCUGAGAACCACUAUGCUAUAUCUUUCCAGGGACAGUAAGGAUCCCACUAAAAAGACAAGAAUUCGAUUUUUAUCAGUUUACUAAAUCAACAUCUUAUAUUUCUAUACUAAACACUAGCCACUACUUGAGGUUUAUUACUGUUGUGAUUAUGUUUAUAAAACAGGGACAUCUUGCAUACCCCUAAUGGUGUGAAUAAAAUCAACUGUGUCAGUACCUUUGAGCACUUCAUAACUUAAAAUUCUAAAAAAUUGAGAUUUGGACCUACAGUUUGCUAUUUAACAGACCAGGUCUGGUCUUGACAGUAAAGCCACCAUCAAAAGCUGCAUUAAGAACCUCAUCCAGGCAGCUUGCUGUGACAAAACUUAAAUCCUGUCGUACGUUGCCUGGGAUUCCCUCAAGGUCUUUUUCAUUUCUCCGAGGAAUAAUGACUUGCUUCAGUCCCGCUCUGUGUGCCGCCAGCACUUUGUCUUUAAUUCCACCCACCUGUAAGGAGAGAAAAAAGUUUUUAGGGUUAAUGAUCACCCUCAAGCUGAAAGAAACCCUGACCCAGCUUUCUUUCACUGAAUUUAACCACUACUAUUUUAAAACAUCCAAAUCAUCUUCCGUUUUGUUAUAGCAUGAGCUAGGAAAGCCAGGAAAAAGGAUAAGUAGUAACCUUUUUUUAAUGUUUCAAUUGGUGUUAUAUUAAAGACUCUGAUGAGGGGGAUUCUAAAUUGUUGAUAGGUAUGAGUUCCUCUUCUGUCAAUGAUUGUUUUUAUAAAUGCUGUCAAAGUAAAUUGGCAUUCAGGUGUAAUCACAACCGUCUAGUCUUUAGGUUGAUCUGAAAAAGCAGCACGUGAUUCUGACCAUGAGCGCCGCUCCUGCAGAGCUUAGCUGUGUGCUGGGGUUACUUCCCUCUCUACAGGUUUAAAGCCAGAACCUCCAUGCUGGUUAAUGAAGAAAAUGUAUCCCUAAACUAGGCUCCUAUGGUGGCUUUCAAACAUGUCUACAAUGGUCCCCCUGCUUGAAUGUGGGCCAGGCUUUGUGACUCGGUAAGAAACAGAGUGUGGUGGGAGUGAUGCUGUAUGAUCUCCACGGCUGAGUCACAAAAAACGAGAGCUGCUGCCUGAAUCUCUCUUGAUCACCUGCCCUGGAGGUGGCCAGUCAUAAUGUCUGAGGUCACUCAAGCAGCCUAUGGGCAAGUCCAUCAGGUGAGGAACUGGGGCCUCCUGCCACUAGAUGGGACCAAUUUGCCAGUCACAUGAGUCAACCACCAUGGAAGCAGUUUCUCCAGCCUGUCAGCCUUCAUGUGACUGCAGCCUGGCUGGAACCUAGACUGUAAGGCCAGAGACCCUGGGCCACAAGAACCCAGCUCAGCCUCUCCUGAAUUCCUGGCCCACAGGAACUUGAAGAGUAUGGAGUAUUCUUGCUUUGGGGUAAUGUGUUGCAUCUGCUCCAAUUAAGACUGGCUGGCUGCUCCAGGCCUUCCCGCCCCACUGGCAUCUUCUUUCAAGGUUUUGUUCAUGCUGCUGAAGUACUCCUUCAAAGUACCUUCUUCAAAAGAGUGUAAGAUGAACUGAUUCCUUGCAUGUUUGAAAAUAUUUUACUUUCACACUUGAUUGAUACUAAGGCCAUGUAUACAAGACUAGAUGUAAAACAUUUUCCCUCACAGCUUUCAUUACUAUUUUUUUUUUUUUUGAGACAGUCUUACUCUGUCACCCAAGCUAGAGUGCAGUGGCACAAUCUUGAUAGAAAAAAGAAAAAAAGACUAUUUCUUUUUUUUUUUCCUCAUCUUGCUAUGAACCUGCCAAAAUCUUGUUGUGGACUAAAAUUGUAGUCUAGUCUGUUGUAGACUAAUACUCAACUAACAACUUUAAAUACUCUCAAGUUCUGUACAUUUUAUCACACUAUUUUUAUAAGCAGUUUAGGAUCUGGAGCCUCAAGACCCCACAUGUAUAGAACCUUUUCAAAAUGUAGUCAUUAGAUAUGGUUAAUCUUUAUUAGAGUUUCCAUUCUAUACUAGCAAAGUUUUCUGCAGGGGGACAGGAGGUCUCAAAGAAACUUCAAAUUUAAGAAAUGGGCUUAAAGCUUAAAAACAACUACUAUCCCAUUUUGCACAUGUGCUAUAUCUUUAACAAUUUGUCAAGUAGAACAAGGCCUCAAAUUUUCAUGUAACUGCCAAUAUUUCUGAUGACCACACUAAUAUUUUUUUCCCUUAGCAAAUCUUAGAAUGGGAAACGUGGGCUGAAUGUGGUGGCUCACGCCUGUAAUCCCAGCACUUUGGGAGGUGGAGAUGAGAGGACUGCAUGAGACCUGGAGUUUGAGACAAGCCUGGACAACACAGAGAGACCCUGUCUCUACGCAAAAUAAAAUAAAUUAGCUGAGCAUGGUGGCGUGCUCCUAUAGUCCCAGCUAUUCGGGAGAUAGACAGGAGGAUCGCUUGAGCCCAGGACUUGGUGGCUAUAGUGAGCUACAGUCACACCACUGCACUCCAGCCUGGGCAACAGAGUGAGACCUGUCUAUUUCAAAAAAAAAAAAAAAAAAAAAAGGAAAAUGUGAAAAAUUGUCAGUUUUUCUUUUAUUUGAUCAAAAUUUUAAAAUAUGAAUUAGUUACAGGCAUAAAAAUAUAAUAUAUACUUAAAACCAAGGUUUUCAUAGAAAGAAGGCAAACCCGUAUUUAAAAAUAAUAUUAAUUUUCAAAAAUUAAAUAAAAAAUAACCAUAUAAAUUGUUUUUUCAUACUUACUGGAAGAACAAGACCUCUCAGUGUAAUUUCUCCAGUCAUGGCUACAUCUGAACGUACCAGCCGCCCACUAAAAAGUGAGGCGAGACAGGUUACUAUGGUAACUCCAGCAGAUGGUCCAUCUUUUGUGACAGCUCCAGCUGGGAAGUGCAGAUGGAUGUCUGUGUUGUCAAGAAGAUCAAAACUUCCAAAAGCUUUAAAAAGGAAAAAGGGACUUUAAUGUAGAAAAAUUAAACCUGUUUUCUUUUUCUCCUAAAAAAAAAGUCACAAACAAAAAUGAAUGUUUUGGGUAAAUGAAUUCUUCAAAAUAUUGGUGGACAGUACAAUUUGGGUGAGGGUGUGGAAGAACAGUUCCAUUCUACUCUAAGUCGUAUUAAAACAAAAUAAACCUUUUGAAUUAGUUUCUAGUUCAGGCACUAGUCAAAUAGUCCUGAAAUGGGAACUAGGAUUUCCACAGGGGUUCAAAACGGUGUGUACUUUGCUAGAUGUGUAACUGGCAGUCUCGAGCUCAUGCCAGUCUCCGCCAUGGAAGGUACCGCCUCCUGGGUCACGCCUGCCUGGCCGGGUGCAGGCUCCUACCAUUGGUCAGCUGGUACUUCUUUGCGUUGCUGCGGAGCCAGCUGAUAGCGAGGUGGGCGGACUCCUUCAUCACGUCCCCGAGCUGGCCGGUCAGAGUUAACUGGCCCUCGCCAUCCAUUCGACUCGCCUCCACGAACAUGAUUUCUCCACCUAAGGGAGUCCAAGCCAAACCUAUUGCUACUCCUGGCUGACUCAAACGCUGAGAUACCUUGAAAGAAGAAGAAUGAUCAGAGUUGGGUUGGCAAAUGCUAAAGGUGACUGAUACCACACAAUCCUGCAAGAGUCGGCUGACUCCACAGAAGACUUCAGCCACUUACCUCAAAGUCCUUGUUACCUAACAUGAUUCUGCGUCACAUUCAGCACUUACUCUCUGGCUUUCUGCCAGAAGAAAGACCUAAACUUCCUCUUUGACAUUUAUCAGAGGCAAUUUUACCUUAAAAUAUAUGUAAAUAACUUUGCUUUUUAUGAGCCAGAUCUAGCUACACAUGCCCUAGUUUUCAAGGAAUAAACCCAAUAGUUUUAUCUAAGUAUCUUUAUUGGGCUGCAAAUAUAUAUAUAUUUUGAGACAGUCUCACUCCAUUGCCCAGGCUUGAAGUACAGUGACACAAUUUCAGCUCACUGAAAACUCUGCCUCCUGGCUUCAAGUGAUUCUCCUGCCUCUGCCUCCCAAGUGGCUGGUACUAUGGGCGCACACAGGCCACCACACCCGCUAAUUUUUGUAUUUUUUGUAGAGAUGUGGUCUCACCAUGUUGGCCAGACUGGUCUCAAACUCCUGACCUCAAGU
rnacentral:lncRNA from 10 species